AGCCACUAUUGUAUGUUCCCAAAUGAUCCCCGGGUUAGCUCAUUUAAUUGACUGCACCACUACUGGACUAAUAAGUAAGAUAACUAGCUAUUUGGGUCAAAAGCCUAAAUAUAUCAUUUAGUGAGAGGCUCCAUUUAAUUAGCUUUUGUAUAAGGGGCCUUAUGUUAUUUUACAAGGUGGGUCCCCUAUUGAAAAAGAAAAUAACGUGAGUUUUAUUUAGAGCAUUAUUUGGAGCCUAAGGUUUUCACUAAAGGGUGAUAUAAAAGGCUUAUUUUUUCCUAAAGAAAAAGACGGAAGCCACUUUAUACAGAUCAGAGAAAAAGAUUUUUCUCUCUAUUGUUGAGAGAAAAAUUUUCUCGUGCUAGUUGCUUUGGUAGUGAUAAAGGCGCCCACACGUCAAGUGCAGAUCGAACCUGAGUCAUAACCUGGAAGAUCAUUGGAGACUGUUCGUGAUCUAACAAGCGUGGUGGUGACGGAUCGUGAUCUAACAUGAGUGGUGGCGGCGGAUCGUGAUCUAGGAGCCUAAAACACUUCAGCAGGAAAAGCCAACUCGGAUUUUCAAGGUACGAUUUCUGGAUUACGUAUUCCUAUAUAUUAUAUGAGAGCGGUCCUUAAAAGGUUUUAUAAAAAUUUAAAAACCUAAUUUUUCCCCAACAAUUGGUAUCAGAGCCAUCUCAUAUUAAUAUAUAAGAAUUUCGUAUGAAAUUAAUCUUGAUAUUUAUGUAUUAGAGUGGCACAAUUUAUUCAGAUAUAUAUUAUUUGUUUAAUAUAUGAAUAAAGCAUGUUUUGGUUUGUCUUAAUCAUGGUUAGAUUUUCUGUUGUAUUUUUUCUUUGGAUCUGUAAUAGGAGGGGUGGUUUUUUAUCACCAUGUUUCCCUCAUGAUUUAUUUUACUGUUAUAGAAUUUUUGUAAGCCAAAAUUGGCCUAGGAAAUUUGUAAAUUAAUCUCGGAUUUUCAAGAUCGGAGCGACGGAGGCCGGGAAUUUUGACAGCGGCAACCAGCAGCAAGCAGCGCACGGCCAGCAACACAUGUUGCCAGCAAGCGCGCGCUGCAAGCCAGCAGCCAGCGCUCGCGGGAAGCGUGGCUUGUGCGCGCAGCACGCGCUGGCACAGGCUGCACGCGCAGCAAACAGCGCGCGCGGCCAGCGUGGCCAGUAGCGCGAGCUGCACGAGCAGCAAGUUGCGUGCGCGAGUUUGGAGCGUUUCCGGCAACAUGGCGGCGGGUGGUUCGGCGUCGAUGGCUGGAAACAGUGAACAGGGGAUAGGUUUUUGGAGAUGGCGGCUGGGGAAGAGAGAAAGAAAAAUAUGGAAUUAGGGUUUCAUGGUUUCUAUCAUGGAGGUCCCUAUGGUUCCAUAAGUUUUCAUUUGGGCAGAAAAGUUUUAAUUUUUUGCGUUUAAAUCCAAAAACAGUUUUGGGUUUAAUGAAUCCUAGUUUUAGGCCCAAUUUCAAUUGGGCUUAAUGGAUUAAAAAUGCAUAGACAAAAUUAAAUACAUUAAAUUUAUUUUUGGUCCAAAAGUUUUAUUUUAAUAAUAAAAAAAAUAAAACUAUUUAUUUAUUUAUUUCCUUUCAAAAUUAAAAUUGGACCAAUUAUAAAUUUAAAAGCCCAAUUUCCCCUAGUCCAUUAACAAAAACAAGCUUAUGGAAGAUGGACAUUGACAAGAAGCCCAAUGAAGAUUAGGCUUAGGGUUAAUCUAUUUUUCAUUAUUAGGAAAGCCAUGAAUUAAGAUUAUUUAAUUGUUUUUCUAUAUGUUAUGUUUUGGAUGUCAACAUGCCAUGAUAACAUGUCAUAUAGAAUAGGUGGUGCCACUCUAUGCAUAAUGAUACAUGUCAUUCAUUAAUUAUGAAUUUCAUUAUAUUGUUUGAAAUUUGCCUAUGCUUAAUAAUAUUGGAUAUCAUCUAGAUAAUAUUAUAGGAAGCAUGCAAUUAACAAUAUGUAUGUUUUAAAAAUGAAAAAUCAAUUUUAAAAUAUUGAGUGGGAGAGGGAAAAUUCAAGAUAAUUUUUCCCACGGGCUCCAUUGUUAGUUCAAUAAUAAAAUUAUAUAUAUACCUCGACUUCAUGAUACGGUGAUGCUCCCUUCGGAGGGUAUAUAUAUUAGAUAUUUUAUUUGAUGAACUUCUUCAAAGAUAAAAUUGAAAUAUUUUUCAAUCGAUUGUUCACCCCAACGGUGACUAUUGAUAUGAAAAAUACGUAGAUUGAAACAAUGGUUAUACACUCAACUAAAGUUUGUUAUUAACCUUCCCAACGAAGCUCUGUUAACAAAUUUAGGCCCAAAAGGAGAACGAUAAUUAUUUAUCAUGUCUUUACAUGAAAGUAAAUAAUCUAAUGGAUAAUUGGGUCUAGUAAGUGUAGACAUGACUUCCCCAACGGAUAGCUUGUCGAAGCGGUACUAGAUUAUCGUUACAAUAAAUUAAAAUGCAUUUAUGAUUUUUUGCAUUUUUGUCAUUUAUUGUGAAUAUUGUUUCAAAGUAUUUAUGCAUGUGUAUUUUGUUUUUUCAGAAAAUGUCUUCCAUCAACCCAUUAUUAUUUAUCCUUGUUAAAAAUGAACUCACUGGCGAAAAUUAUUUAGAUUGGAAACGCAAUCUAUUUAAUAUCCUCAUUGCUAAAGGAAGCAAAUAUGUGUUGACCCAGCCUUGCCCUCCUGAACCAUCGUUAUACGAUUAUAGAAAUCAGAGGGAGCCUUAUGAGAAAUGGUGCGAAGCUAACAAAAUGGCUAAGCGCUAUAUAUUGGCUUCGAUUUCUAUGGAACUGCAUAAGAAACAUCGGAGCAUGGAAACAGCCACUGAAAUAAUGGCUAGUCUUCAUCAGAUGUUUGAGCAAAAUACCCAUUUUGCCAGAGAAGCAGCAUUAAAACGUAUUACGGAUACUAAGAUGGAAGAGGGCACAAAAGUUCGUGAUCAUGUCCUCAAAAUGAUGGACUAUUUGAAUGAGGUAGAGAUUCAUGGUGUUCAAAUCAAUGAUAAAUCAAAGAUUAACAUGGUGAUUGAAUCUUUACCUGAUACAUUCAAAGAGUUUAAGGUCAGCUAUAUCUUAAACAAUAAAGAUAUGACCUUAAUUGAAUUAAUGCACGAACUACAUGCUAUAGAAGAAUUUUAUCAUAGCAGAAAACUUCCUGAAAAAGGAUUCUCUUCAAGGCUUAAGUCGAAAGACAAGAAUGAGCAAGCAAGAGUUGGGAUCGGCAAACUGUCCACUAAAAGAAGUGGCAAGCCAAAAGGCAAGUGUUACAAAUGUGGACAGAAGGGUCACUGGAAGAAAGAUUGUCCUAAGAUUAUUAAAAUCAGGUAUAGGAAAUCUUUAAGCUUCCUAAUUAGUUCAGAUUUCUAUUGAUUCAUUCAAUAAUAAAUUCUGAGAUAACUAAUCUUAUUUAUAAUUCAUUUAUUUGGUUUUCAGGAAACCAAGAGAUUAAGUGAAGAAAGCUUCAAACAGCAGUUGAGGACGUGCUAGUUUAUAUCAAUUGAAAGACUAGAUCAAUUUUACAAGACUUUAGUUUUGGUAUUUGUCUUUAUUUUUCCAAAUAUUAGAGGAAUUUAAUUUCGGUGGCUUGUUUUAAUAAACAGGAGUACACUGUUAUUUAUGGAUCCUCUGUUUAUUACUUAUUUUGGUUAUUUAUAAAGACAAUUUAUAUCAUAGAAGUACAUUGAUCUAUUCAAAGUAAGAUAUAAUGAUAAAAAGUAUAUGCAUUUAUCUAAGAAAAGAAAUGUUUCUUCUAACCAAAAAUCACCUCUGAUAUUUAUGCUUAAGUCAUAUAAACUAUAAUAAGAUUUUAAGAAAAUGAUUAAUGAUAGACUUGUUGGCCUAUUAAGAUUGAUCAUUGUAACUCUAUAAAUCUUAUUUAGAAAAGUAAUAUGACAAGAAUGCUCUUUUUGAGCUAAAAGCAUAACAUUGUAUUUGAUGAUUUAGCGCAUACAAAUGUAUACGGACUAAUCAGUUUACAUGUUAUAAGAGGUUAUGAGUAUUCUAUCAAUCUUGUUGAUGAAUAUUCAUUUUAUUUAUGUUUGUCUAAAUGCGUCAUGAUUCCAUUGCUUUUGAAAUUCAAAAGAGUACGUGGAUAAGACAGAAGCAAUUAGACAGGAACAUAAAAGAACUUCGAUAUGAUCGAAACAAAGAAUAUCUCUAUGGAGAAUUCAAGCACUAUUUGGUUGUCAAUGAACACUAUGAUACAAUAGUGUAAUUAAAUGGAGAAACAAGAUUCUUUUGGAUAAGACAAGAUAUAUACUAAGUGGUUUAUCAUUUACCUUUUUGAUUCCAGAUACUAGUAUUUGAAACUACAAAGUUUAUUGAACUUAGUUUUAUCUAUCUCGGUGUCUACUACUCCAAGAUAUUAUGAAAAAGUCACAAACAUAGUUUGAGACACAUUCGUAUUUGGAAUUUACUAGAAUCAGAGAUAGAGAAGAUGGAUUCGUGUUCAGAAGCUUGCAUGUUUUAGGUAUCUUAAAGGAAUAAGGGAAAGUCUGAAUUAUAGUCCUCAAGAUAGGAAUGUAUUUAUAGAAAUAUUCUUUACUUUCUUUGAGGAAUACUAUAUAAUGACUUAUAACCUAAGAGUAAGGUAAAACUAGAGAAAUAAAAGAGAUCAGGUUGAUGCUCAACUUUCAACACCUGUUAUAGAACAGGAAGAACAGCAACAACCAGCUGAUCAAUACAAGAUUAUCCUUGAACAACCAUCACUUUUAGAACCUCGUCGUAGUGGGAGGGUAACUAGGUUACCUGCGAGAUACAUGCUUUUGGGAGAAACCUAUACGGCUAUCUCAGAUGAACAUGUACAAGAUCCCACUAGUUACAACGAAACUCUAAUAGAUAGAGAUGUUGAAUUUUAGAAAAAGGCCAUGAAUCAAGAAAUGGAAUCUAUGUAUUCCAAUAAAGUCUGGGAACUUGUAGAGGCACCAAAUGGGGUAAAACCUAUAGGGUGCAAGUAGAUCUACAAGAGAAAAAGAGGAGUAGUCGGAAGGGUGGAAACAUUUAAAGCAAGAUUAGUAGCCGAAGGGUUUACUCAGAAAGAAUGAAUCGAUUAUGAGGAAACCUUUUCUCCGGUUGCUAUGCUUAAAUCCAUCAGGAUUCUGCUCUCCUUUGCUGCAGUGCUAGAUUAUGAAAUUUGGCAAAUGGAUGUCAAGACUGCCUUUCUUAACGGGCAUCUUGAAGAAAACAUCUACAUGUAGCAACCAGAUGGAUUUAUACAAAAAGGCCAAGAACACAUGGUAUGUAAGUUGCAGAGAUCCAUUUAUAGAUUGAAGCAAGCAUCUCGGUCAUGGAACAUCAGAUUUGAUCAAGCGAUAAAAUCGCUUGGAUUCAUUCAGAACAUUGAUGAACCAUGUGUGUACAAGAAAAUUCAGGAAAAAUUUGUAGCCUUCCUAGUUCUUUGUGUAGACAAUAUUCUCCUGAUUGGAAACGAUAUAGGAGUAUUGACUACAAUAAAGAUUUGGUUAGCAAAAUAAUUUGAUAUGAAAGACCUGGGAGAGAUAAGUUAUAUUCUUGGUAUCAAGUUACUACGAGACCGGAAGAAUAAAACUUUAGCCUUGUCUCAAGCGGUCUAUAUCGAUAAGAUAUUGGCUAGAUUUAGCAUGGAAAAUUCCAAGACUGAUUUAUUACCAUUCAGACAUGGAAUUACAUUCUCUAAGGAUCAAUCACCUAAAACAUCUGAAGAGAUAGAGAGAAUGAGACGAGUUCCCUAUGCAACAGCUGUGGGAAGUCUCAUGUAUGUCAUGCUUUGCACUAGGCCAGACAUCUGUUUUGCGGUAGGGAUGGUUAGUAGAUAUCAAUCUAAUCCUGGACCUGAACACUGGACUGGGGACAAGCCUAUAAUGAAGUAUCUGAAAAGAACUUAAAAUUAUAUGCUUGUGUAUUCUGGUGAUAAACUUAUUCUAGUGGGUUAUACUAAUUCUGAUUUUUUGUCAGAUAAGGAUUUUAGAAAAUCAACUUCCGGCUAUGUGUUUACAUUGGGAAGUGGAGCUAUUAGUUGGAUGAGUGUGAAACAAUCUUGUAUCACAGACUCAAUAACUAAAGCUGAAUAUGUGGCUACAUCUGAAGCUGCAAAAGAAGCUAUAUGGCUCUGUAAGUUCCUACGAAAUCUUGAGGUGGUACCUAUUGUAACUGCACCCCUUAAACUAUUUUGUGAUAAUGGUGGUGCGGUAGCUCAAUCUAAGGAACCAAGGAACCACAAGAAACAAAACAUAUUGAAAGGAAGUAUCAUCUUAUAAGGGAAUAGUGUAGAAAGGUUAUAUAAAAGUGCCCCAAAUGGCAUUAGAUGCUAAAUGGCAGAUCUUAUUACAAUGGCCAUUAGUGGGAAACCUUUAUAACCUGCACUUAGAGCCCUAGAGCAUGUGCAAUAUGCCAGAUAUGCUUUGAGAGCUAGUGGGAGAUUGUUGGGAAAAUAUGCUCUUUAAAAGCAUAUGUGUUUAUUUAAUUGUAAUAAACAAUUUUUCUGAUUAAUAAAAUAAAUGAGGUAUUUUAUUCAAAUAUCUUAAUUGUAAUAAUAUUUGUAUUAAAGUCCAUUUAAUCAUAUUAUAUGUAUUUAUGUGAUCACCAUGUGGAUUCACAGAAGACAUAAAUAUAAGUUAUCUUAUGAUUAAAUAAAUUUAGUUCGCAGUUGAUAAAUAAAGUUGGGCACUUUAUUUAGGUAUAGACUGUAAUAAAUUCAUUGAAUGAUUUGUCUUAAUCAUGUAUGAAUUUAUUGAUGUAGUAUGACUACAUUGAACAGGAUCACAUAUGAGAUUUAAUUAACUUUGUAAUAACUGUCAGACUUAUUAAAUCUCAUAGGCGUUGAUUUUACUGUAAUCUUAAUCUUGAGUUAAUUAUGAUUUCAUGAUUGUGAUUGUUAUUUCAUUUGAGUUACCAAUGGGCACGACACAUCCUUGUGGUCAAGAUUACCCGGUAUCUUGGUGGGAGCAAUUAUGAGUAUUGGAGUUAUGGAUUAACAAUAUAGAAUUUGUACAACACAUCUCUUGAUAGGUUUUCGGUACUUGAUCAUAGAAUUCUCUGGCCAGAGUGUGUCAACAUAUUUAGUAUGUUGAAAAUGAUCAUUAGAGAAAACCAGUAAGGAUCAAGGAAUAAGAUGUUAUUAAAUUGAUUGGACAGUUGAGAUAUCAAUUUAAUUAACGAUGUGGUACAAAGGAUUGUGCAGUAAAGAAAUCAAUGUGGCUUGGGACGAAUUAUUAUUCGAGCAUACAAUUAUGGAAGUCAGUUCCAAUCUUUUAGUGGAGUAGAUUUGGAAUUAAAUAAUUGGGCUAGUUUAAUUACAGGCCUAAUUAUUGUAGCCACUAUUGUAUGUUCCCAAAUGAUCCCCGGGUUAGCUCAUUUAAUUGACUGCACCACUACUGGACUAAUAAGUAAGAUAACUAGCUAUUUGGGUCAAAAGCCUAAAUAUAUCAUUUAGUGAGAGGCUCCAUUUAAUUAGCUUUUGUAUAAGGGGCCUUAUGUUAUUUUACAAGGUGGGUCCCCUAUUGAAAAAGAAAAUAACGUGAGUUUUAUUUAGAGCAUUAUUUGGAGCCUAGGGUUUUCACUAAAGGGUGAUAUAAAAGGCUUAUUUUUUCCUAAAGAAAAAGACGGAAGCCACUUUAUACAGAUCAGAGAAAAAGAUUUUUCUCUCUAUUGUUGAGAGAAAAAUUUUCUCGUGCUAGUUGCUUUGGUAGUGAUAAAGGCGCCCACACGUUAAGUGCAGAUCGAACCUGAGUCAUAACCUGGAAGAUCAUUGGAGACUGUUCGUGAUCUAACAAGCGUGGUGGUGACGGAUCGUGAUCUAACAGGAGUGGUGGUGGCGGAUCGUGAUCUAGGAGCCUAAAACACUUCAGCAGGAAAAGCCAACUCGGAUUUUCAAGGUACGAUUUCUGGAUUACGUAUUCCUAUAUAUUAUAUGAGAGCGGUCCUUAAAAGGUUUUAUAAAAAUUUAAAAACCUAAUUUUUCCCCAACAGACGCCCCCAUAGCAAUGAGAAAACCAAGAAAAAAAAAGUUGUUGUCUUGAGAGGGUUGAUGAAAUGGUUCUUGUGAGCAAAAAUGGUGGCAUGUUGAAGUGGGGUGAGCUUUGAUUUAAGGACGUCAAUUAUCAAACAAAACAGAAUGAAGUCUAAAAACACAUUAAUGUUGUGUUUACUUGCUGGAGUGGGAGUGAGGAGUGUGGAUUUCUCCCACUCCAGCGUUUACUUACUUAAAAUGGGGAGGGAUUGGGAGUCCCACUCCGUGGGCCCCACCCAUUUUUGGAGUGGGGAGUGGGAAUCCACUCCCACCUCUCCCAUUUCUAUCCUUUUUUUUAUUUUAUGUUU
rnacentral:lncRNA from 1 species